rnacentral:rRNA from 1 species
GUCCAGUCGAACGAUCGACGGUGGUGCUUGCACCACCUGAUUAGAUAGGCGAACGGGUGAGUAACACGUGAGUAACCUGCCCUCCACUUCGGGAUAACCUCGGGAAAUCGUGGCUAAUACCGGAUAUGAGCACUCAUCGCAUGGUGGGUGCUGGAAAGAUUUAUCGGUGGGGGAUGGACUCGCGGCCUAUCAGUUUGUUGGUGAGGUGAUGGCUCACCAAGGCGAUGACGGGUAGCCGGCCUGAGAGGGCGACCGGCCACACUGGGACUGAGACACGGCCCAGACUCCUACGGGAGGCAGCAGUGGGGAAUAUUGCACAAUGGGCGAAAGCCUGAUGCAGCGACGCCGCGUGGGGGAUGACGGCCUUCGGGUUGUAAACCCCUUUCAGUAGGGAAGAAGCGAGAGUGACGGUACCUGCAGAAGAAGCGCCGGCUAACUACGUGCCAGCAGCCGCGGUAAUACGUAGGGCGCAAGCGUUGUCCGGAAUUAUUGGGCGUAAAGAGCUUGUAGGUGGCUUGUCGCGUCUGCCGUGAAAACCCGAGGCUCAACCUCGGGCGUGCGGUGGGUACGGGCAGGCUAGAGUGUGGUAGGGGAGACUGGAACUCCUGGUGUAGCGGUGAAAUGCGCAGAUAUCAGGAAGAACACCGAUGGCGAAGGCAGGUCUCUGGGCCAUUACUGACACUGAGAAGCGAAAGCAUG